UGCAGUCAUCUUUACAGGACGGCCACUCCUAGGGAGAGUAGCAGCAGUGCUGAACUUUCUCCAUUUAUAGACAAUUUGUCUUACCAUGGACUGAUGAACAGCAAGGCUUUUGGAGAUACUUUUAUAACCCUUUCCAGCUUUAUGCAAGUCAACAAUUCUUAAUAGUAGGUCUUCUGAGAGGUCUUUUGUGCGAGGCAUCAUUCACAUCAGGCAAUGCUUCUUGUGAAAAGCAAACCCAGAAC
rnacentral:lncRNA from 1 species